rnacentral:lncRNA from 1 species
GAGACCUAUGACUUUGCUGACUCAUGCCCAGCGGUCACUCCCGUCUGUCCUCUCAGGAUGGACACUUGCUCCCAAGCUGUUCCUGGUGACUUCCUGGUUGGUGAAUGCUCAGUGACCUUAUUGGCUGCCUGAGUCCCAUUGUUCAGACACCUGGAGCACGUGGGGUGAUUGUGAAGGGCUGAUGUGUGUAUUCCUGCCUCAUAGCCUUUACCUGAUAAGCAGCUGACGCACCGUUUCCUACAUGAGCCAUGACCUGGAGUUGCCCUCCCCACAGCGGCCAGCAUCUUCCACCUGCAAAAGACCACGAUAACCAUGGAUCCUAUAACCCACGAAAUUCCAGAAAGGUAAAAAUACAAUUUGCCUAAAACUAGAGACAGCUCUUCUUUUUUAAUUUGAAAAGUUG